GCCGGAUUAGCUCAACAGGCAGAGCACCUGUCUAGUAAACAGGCUACGCGGGUUCGAGUCCUGCAUCCGGCUCCA
rnacentral:tRNA from 3 species